ACAAAGUGACAGGUGGUGCAUGGUUGUCGUCAGCUCGUGUCGUGAGAUGUUGGGUUAAGUCCCGCAACGAGCGCAACCCUUAUUGUUAGUUGCCAUCAUUUAGUUGGGCACUCUAGCGAGACUGCCGGUGACAAACCGGAGGAAGGUGGGGAUGACGUCAAAUCAUCAUGCCCCUUAUGACCUGGGCUACACACGUGCUACAAUGGGAAGUACAACGAGUCGCUAGACCGCGAGGUCAUGCAAAUCUCUUAAAGCUUCUCUCAGUUCGGAUUGCAGGCUGCAACUCGCCUGCAUGAAGCCGGAAUCGCUAGUAAUCGCGGAUCAGCACGCCGCGGUGAAUACGUUCCCGGGCCUUGUACACACCGCCCGUCACACCACGAGAGUUUGUAACACCCGAAGUCGGUGAGGUAACCUUUUUGGAGCCAGCCGCCUAAGGUGGGAUAGAUGAUUGGGGUGAAGUCGUAACAAGGUAGCCGUAUCGGAAGGUGCGGCUGGAUCACCUCCUUUCUAAGGAA
rnacentral:rRNA from 1 species